AACACAUGCAAGUCGAGGGGCAUCAGGGAGAAAGCUUGCUUCUUGCUGGCGACCGGCGCACGGGUGAGUAACGCGUAUCCAACCUUCCCCCCAGUAGGGCAUAGCCCGGCGAAAGUCGGAUUAAUACCCUAUGUUUUCCAAUGAGGACAUCUGAGCUGGAACAAAGAUUUAUCGCUGGGGGGAUGGGGAUGCGUCCGAUUAGGUUGUUGGCGGGGUAACGGCCCACCAAGCCCGCGAUCGGUAGGGGUUCUGAGAGGAAGGUCCCCCACACUGGUACUGAGACACGGACCAGACUCCUACGGGAGGCAGCAGUGAGGAAUAUUGGUCAAUGGGCGUAAGCCUGAACCAGCCAAGUAGCGUGCCAGGACGACGGCCCUAUGGGUUGUAAACUGCUUUUAUGCGGGGAUAAAGUGAGGUAUGUAUACCUUUUUGUAGGUACCGCAUGAAUAAGGACCGGCUAAUUCCGUGCCAGCAGCUGC
rnacentral:rRNA from 1 species